CAUGUGUGUUGGUCUCACGCCUAUGUGAGAGGUUUGAUAAUUUAUUUGAUAAUUUACUUGAAAUCCAUAACAUUUUCAUACCCUUCCCGCACUAAUAAUUCCUCUACUAAUAAUUCUAUCUAACCUAAUCAGACAAACAAACUGGUAAUGUCAUGUUUUGGCAAUGAAAAUUUUUUGUUACUUGCCAUUUUUUAAAGAUUUUUUGGCUGAGUUUUCAGAAUUACUUUCUAAAACAAAUUCAAAAAAUUAUUUGAUAAAAUAAACACUAAAAAAAUUUCAAUAUUAGAGCCCAUCUGAAAUCGCAUCUACGGUUUCCCGAAUCCUAACCUCCCGUUGCCGUACCAAGCCUGGAGAAACCAUUGGAGAACAUCUGAAAUCACAUCUACGGUUCAAUAUUACACGACGGUUCUUUACUACUUCUACGACAAAACAUCUCGAAAUCACCAUAUACAGUUCAAAUUUAAGGUGCAGGAAGCAUGCCACCUCCAAGGACAUAGCUGGGAGGCUAGAGGCGGACAU